CGCGUGCCUCCCUGCCGGCCAACCUGCAUGCUACUCAGUACAGUUGGGGCAUUGUGCUCAGACAAGAAAGGGGCACUUGUGAUCCAGACAAUGGGCUGGGUCGCUCCCAUUUGGCCUGGGCUUCAGCUUCCCUGGGUCAGCAAUAUCCUUUCCUCUGCUCCUGCCCACUCUGCUUCCACCCCUCCCUGGAGAAUGGUGGCUAGGAACACGGAGCAGAGACUCACCGCGGGCCCAUGCCCGGUUUGGCACGUGCCUCGGCCGUGAGGAGGAGGAGGGAUGCAAGCUUCGCUCCUCUACCCUGGUAUAGACCAAGAGAAAUGGCGGCAUCUGCACACACAAAAACUUGUACAGGAAUGUUCACAGCAGCAAUAACAGCCAAAAAGUGGGAACAAUCUUAAUGUCUACCAACUGACGAACAGGUAUAGACCAAGAGGUAUGGAGGCCAAGGCGAGCAGAUUACUUGAGGUCAGGAGUUCGAGACCAGCCUGGCCAGCGGUUCCAGUGAGGCCCAUGUGAGGCAGUCACUCAGGGCAGUAGCCCCCUCACUGGCCUCCCCACUUCCACUCACACCCACUAUGGCCCACUCCCCACACCUCACAUUCCUGCCCAGGGUCCCCCAGCGGUCCCAUCUUGCUGAGAACCUGCCGGCACUCCUCUUUGCCUGCACGGGCUCACUCAGCCACACAGGUGUCCUCGCGGCUGCUCCACCUCACAGGGCUGGCCCCUGCCUCAGGACUGCAAUACCCGGCUGUUUCUUCUGCCUGGAAUGCUCACACCCCAAACCUUGGCAUGGCUCUCCGCUUCACAUAUUUUACAUUUCUGCACCAGCAUCACCUCCCCAGAGACCACGGUGUCUAAAAGCGCUCCCCCCACCAUCAUUCUCUGCCAUCUUCGUAGCUUGCUUUAGUUUUCUUUUUUUUUUGAGAUGAAGUUUCACUCUUGUUGCCCAGGCUGGAGUGCAAUGCGCGAUCUCAACUCACCGCAACCUCCUCCUCUUGGGUUCAAGCGAUUCUCCUGCCUCAGUCUGCCGAGUAGCUGGGAUUACAGGCAUGCGCCACCAUGCCCAGCUAAUUUUGUAUUUUUAGUAGAGAUGGGGUUUCUCCAUGUUGGUCAGGCUGGUCUUCGAACUCCCAACCUCAGGUGAUCCGCCUGCCUCAGCCUCCCAAAGUGCUGGGAUUACAGCGUGAGCCACCGCACCCAGCCGCUUGCUUUAGUUUUCUUUGUCACACUUAACAUUACCUGGAAUUCCUUCUGGCUUACGGGUUUGUUUGGGUGUGUCUCCCACUAGAAUGUAAGGGCAGGACUGGCUCCAGUGGGCCUCAUUAUCUCCAGGGUCUGGCAUAAAUGGGCACUCAGCUAUUUGCUGAAUCAAUAAACGUGUGUGUCAUUGACAGCUAUCAA
rnacentral:lncRNA from 1 species